CAGAGCCUGCUGCAGCCGGUUCAUUAUCCCGACCAAUCGCAUACUUCCUCGGUGCGGCAGAACCGUCGCCGCAUUAUCUCGCAUUUUUAUCGUUGUUGUUUAUCCGAAAAAUUGUAAGCGGCUUACAAUUCUUUUCUUGAUUUUUGGCCUUCUCAACCUUUCUUAUUCGCCCCUACUGCUACGUUCGUUUUAAUAAAUUAUUCUUUUAAAACCCGCGGAUGUGCGGCUCACAACCUAUCCUGGAAAUAGCGUUCACAAACUGCUCGUCUACAAAUCAGUCGGUCUUCGCCGAUUGUUACAACAUGGAUUUAAUAAACCUUUAUUUUUUCAAAAGAAAUGUUGCUACAUACACAGUACUAGACACUAGUAUAGUAUGUAAAAUGUCAUCGAUAAGUUAUGGUCACAAAUUACGAGAAAACUUUCUAAAGAAAUAUAGGAAAAAUCACGUUAACACAAAUUGUAGCUACUGCAUCGUCAUGUAGCAAUCAAGAAAUGUUGUACAAUAUUGAUAACAGUUCGAACAUUUCACAGGAACCCAAUGUACAAACGUCCAGUAGCACUUAUACGUCAAGUGGGAUUUGUUAUUAAAAAAUUCUUUAUAAUAACUGAAAUGAACACGAUAGAUGAGCAUUUAAAAGUUUAUGAAUCUGCAUCUCCUAUGUGUUCCUGGAGCACAAACAUAAUACAGAAUUCAAAGUUUCAUCACCCCGUCCAAUAUUAUGUAUAAGUUUCAGCUACACUUAAUAAUGGUUCUAAUAAUUUUGCUGUUA